AAUAUAUAAGAUUCCCAAAAGCUCUUAUAAUGAGAGAAUUGUUUGCAUAACAAGGACAUUUUGUACAAAUGGAACCCCAAGGAAGAACCAGUUUUUCUUAAGAACAAGUUUUCUUUGGAGGACAAAUCCAAUCUCCUGUAAUUACAAUUGCUGAUGUUGGGAGAACCCUCAAUAGCAUCCUUGCAUAGAAAAUGAAAGAAUAAUUAAUUGCCAAAGUUUGUGGGAAUGCUAGAGAACAAAUCUUGCAUUGUUCUUAAUAAUUGAAGAUGAUGACUACUUGAAGAUGUAACGUUGCUUUAGGUGUUUCUAACUGUAUUUCUGCUUAGCUAGUUAUCUUGUUUGGAACAGAAAAUUCAAAACCUACCCCUUGCUCUUAGCCUUACACAAGGUUCAUCUAUGAAGCU
rnacentral:lncRNA from 1 species